rnacentral:rRNA from 1 species
UGCCUGAUGGAGGGGGAUAACACUUGGAAACAGGUGCUAAUACCGCAUAACAGUUUAUGCCGCAUGGCAUAAGAGUGAAAGGCGCUUUCGGGUGUCGCUGAUGGAUGGACCCGCGGUGCAUUAGCUAGUUGGUGAGGUAACGGCUCACCAAGGCCACGAUGCAUAGCCGACCUGAGAGGGUGAUCGGCCACACUGGGACUGAGACACGGCCCAG